rnacentral:rRNA from 1 species
GACGAACGCUGGCGGCGUGCUUAACACAUGCAAGUCGAACGGAAAGGCCCUGCUUUUGUGGGGUGCUCGAGUGGCGAACGGGUGAGUAACACGUGAGUAACCUGCCCUUGACUUUGGGAUAACUUCAGGAAACUGGGGCUAAUACCGGAUAGGAGCUCCUGCUGCAUGGUGGGGGUUGGAAAGUUUCGGCGGUUGGGGAUGGACUCGCGGCUUAUCAGCUUGUUGGUGGGGUAGUGGCUUACCAAGGCUUUGACGGGUAGCCGGCCUGAGAGGGUGACCGGCGACAUUGGGACUGAGGGACGGCGCAGACGCCUACGGGAGGCAGCAGUGGGGAGUAUUGCACAAUGGGCGGAAGCCUGAGGCAGAGACGCCGCGUGCGGGAUGACGGCCUUCGGGUUGUAAACCGCUUUCGCCUGUGACGAAGCGUGAGUGACGGUAAUGGGUAAAGAAGCACCGGCUAACUACGUG